CGUCUAUGAUAUAGCGGUAAUCAUCCACCAAUUGUUUCUGCCAACCUGCGAAACCUGUACUGUACAGUAUUGCUAUAACUGCGCGACCUGCUUCAAGUGCUCAACACAAUAUGAUGCAUCCUGCACGCAUGAAAUGAAUGGUCGCCAGGUGAACACCGUGCCUGCUCCAGCAUCCUGCACUUGAUCACUGCGUGCGCAGCCACACGUGACCCAAAUCACGUCGCCGGCACCUACCUAACCCAUGCCUAGCCACACCGCUCAACCGUUCUAGCGUUUACCGUUACGCUACAUGCGCGGGCCGGCCGCCAUUGCAGCAAUGAGAUCUGACGCCCCCGUGGCCGUGCGCGCCGCCGCUGCGGUGCAGGCUACCGGGUCCAGCGAGUAGAGCUCCAGCAUCCCUCGCGGCUCCAUCAGCUUCCGAACGACCCCGGCGAUCGCCCCGACCAGCAGGGCUGCGUUGUUGCGGCACAGGACAUGGGUGGGCUCGUCGCCAGCAUGGCUGGCAGCUUCCUGCGCCUCCCUAAGCUCCCACAGUCGGCGGAGGCCCCACCGUGUCACCGCGUCCACCGGGUCAGCGGGUGGGACGCGCGCCAGCGCCGCCGCUACCUCCGCCUUCACCGCCUCCCCGACCACAGCCACCGCCAAAGCCUCCAGUGGGGCCGGUGCAGCUCCGGCUGGCUGGACAUGUUGUCCUCGCGGCACGUCCGGCACAACGACCAGCUGCAGCGCCGCCGAUUCUGCAGCUGCAGAAUGGCGCUGUGUGUUUGCGUAGGCCCCGCCGCCGCCGCCGUCGCUUGUGGGUGCGCCAGCGGCUGCCUCACCGCCGCCUGUCGACUGCUGCCUUUGGCCUGCCGCUGGCUCGUGCUGCUUCCGCUCCGCCGCCUGAUGCUGCGGCUCCGUCUUCUGCUGCUGCUGCUGUUGCUGCCUUUCCGCCUGGCGCUGCAGCUGGUGCGGCUGCGCUGCAUGCUGCUGCUGCUGCUGCUGCUGGGCCUGCUGCGCUUGCCACUCCGCCUGCGGCUGCUCCUGCUGCCGCGCUACCUGUUUGUCCUCGUGCUGCGCGCGUUGCAGCUUCACAAGAUCGGCCAGCGUCAUCAGCUCGUCUGCGUCAUCUUCUUCCUCCUGCUGCUCAUCUUCAUCCGCCUCCACCUCCUCCUCCUCGUCCUGCUCCUCCUCAUCCUGCUCCUCCUCCGUCUCCACCUCGCCCACCGCCCCGCUGUCCUCGCAUCCCGCGUUGCUUGCCCCGGCCACCUCCUCGGCCUCGGCCUGCGGCACCACCGCUGCCGCUGCAGGUGGGGCCGGUGCGGGAGGCGGCGGCAGCACGAAGGCCGGCGGCAGGGAAAUGACGCCUGCUCGGGCGCACACAUUGCGCGCCCGCUCCAGCAGCUGCACCAGCUGCGCCGCCGCCUUGUAGCGCACCUCGUAUCCCGCAGGCGCUUCGUCCCUGUUGCGCGUUGGGGAUGAAGUGGUGACCCUGGUGCAGCUAUCGCAAGUCCUCAGUGCAAACCGGUGUUAACUUUAACAAACAUUGCCUUAUCAAUGCCGGCGCCCAGGUCCAAUGCCGGCAGCACGACUCACCACAGCAGCUCAGAGCGGGCCUGCACAGCGCUCAGCAGUGCGGACGCGGCGGCAGAAGCAGCAUCGCCAAACUGGUCAACCAGCUUCUCGACCUCGGCCAGGAGCAUGUCUGUGGAGAAGGAGUGCCAAGUAAAGCCGGGGUUCAGGGUGAGAGCGUGGUACAUGCGCGACAGCGCUGAAAGAGCUAUGGCCAAGCUUGACGCCCUGGUGACUGACUGGCAGCGUUCAUGCUGCGCGACGUGCCCAGUGUCUCGCACUGAUGGCGUGUGCUUUACUCACUUGCGGCCGCCGGCAGCAUGAUCCGUGCAAGCCGCUCGACCGCCGACGUCAUGUGGUCCCGCAUCUGUAAGCCGGCAUCGGCAAGCACGGGGUAAGUGCUGCUUGUUCGCCGGAACACCGCUGUCGUGCCGACGCACGCGUUGGCAGGACGCCUCGCUGCACUGCUACCUCCACCCCCAAUCUACCCCUAUGGCACGCACCCGCUUGUAGGAGCCUGGCCCGCGCUCGCUGGCGGCGGCCUGGUAGGCGCCCUGGAGCGAGGUCCGUACGUGCGGCUCCACCACGUCCUGGCUCAGCGCCUUGCUGGUCUCCACCAGGCCCGAGUGCAGCGCCUCCAGCGCCUGCGCCAGCUGCCGCUCCUGGUCGCGCCGGACCUGUGCGUGCACAGGCGGGAGGGCGCAGGUAGGCAGGUGUGCAGGCAUGAGCAAGUGAGAGGGUGGGUGAGAGUGCGCGUGCAGCAGCAACGACAUCGCGACGUCUUGUACGGUGAUGGCUACCCCAGGGCGCCUCGGGGCCACGCAUCGUGCAUGCACACAUGUACCGGCGGCAGACUGGCCCACCACGCACCAGCCCAACGCACCUGGCGGUACAGUUCGUCCAGCCGGCCCGCCUCGGCCGGCAGCAGCUCGUCGCCGCCCGGCAGCGGCGCCACCUGCGCCUCCAGCUCGUGUCGCGCGCCCCUCACGAAGUCGUCCAGCUCCGCAAGCAGACGCUCCCGCAUGGACCUGCAGGCGAUUCGUGUGUGUGUGUGUGUGUGUGUGUGUGUGUGUGUGUGUGUUAAAGAGCACAAGGCAAACGUUGCGCAAAGACAGUGUAUGCGAUGCAGCAAAGCGACGUGUGUGUGUGUGUGUGUGUGCCGGCGGCAGGCAUGGUGUUGACACCGACGGGCAACCUUUUCCCUAGACCUAGACUCGGUACUAGCAUAUUUGGCACAUGACACCGUGCAGCCUGCGCCUGCCCCGCCCUGCCUCUUCCGACAUGCGCAGGCCGAUAACGCUGCCGCCAGUGCCGUGACCACCACCGUGCCACCUACUUGGUGAGCUCCGAUUGGAAGAGCCGCGCCCAGGUGACAGCGAUGCGGUCCAUGAUGGGGCGCACGAGCGCGCCGUUCCAGUUGAUGGGGCCCACCGUGGGGCUGGUGUAAGAGCCGUCGCGGUGAACCACACCCUGCAGGCGAGAGGCCGAUGGCCCCAAAGCGCCAGAGCGCGGCUGUGUGAGCGCCCAUGCCAGAGAAACCACAAUUCCCGCCAGACNNNNNNNNNNNNNNNNNNNNNNNNNNNNNNNNNNNNNNNNNNNNNNNNNNNNNNNNNNNNNNNNNNNNNNNNNNNNNNNNNNNNNNNNNNNNNNNNNNNNUGCUUGCAGGAAGUGCGCUUAAGUGACACCGCCACGGUUUUGAACAGCCGGCCGACACGCACACCACUAGCACACACGCACACCACACGCACACGCACACACACACCACCCCCACCACUACCCCCACCCCCACCAACGGUGGCCGCACCUGCAUGUACGGCACGGGCUCGUAGGUCAGCUCUGCAGGGGUACGUCGAACAGGGCGUGGGGGUUAGCGAGCCCACGUGCUGGUUUGGCAACAAAGCAAAGCAGCAUGCGCCUCUCGCGAGUCCACAGCCACCAUCGCUCGGGUUCAUCACAGCCGCCAAGCUCCCAUCACUCUUGACACGCCCAUGCCUUCGGCUCCGUCCGGCCUCUUCACCCCAACCCCCAAACUCCCAAACUCCCAAACCCGAAACCCCCACCACCCGGCCCCCGCCCCGGCCGGCCUCACCACGCAGGGGGGUGCUGCGGCUGGCCACCGCGCGCUCCACCAGCGCCCUGAUCUCGGCGGGCAGGGCGCCCUCGCUCGCGGCCCAGGCCAGAGCCUCCUCAAUGGUGUGGCCCUGUGAGGCGGGGCAGGCGGGGCAGGGGGGGGCGGGGCAGGGCGUUACACUCAUGGGGUGUGUGUGUGGAGAAAUGGUGAGCGGGAGCGUGUACGGGUGUGGAGUGGAGGCAGGUGUGCAGGUGGCGGUGCAGAGCGUGAGUGGGCAUCGGUCACGGGUGGCAUGGCGAAAGUGAUACCAUAUGGGUGUGGCGAAGUAGCAGCAUGGCAAAAUGCGAAAGAACACCUUGGCCACGCCUUUGCUGCCACACGCCGCAAACCUCCGCCUCCCGCCCCGCCCCACCCCGCCCCACCCCACCCCGCCCCGCCCCGCCCCACCCCGCCCCACCCCAAACUCACCAGCACCACCUUCUCCAGCAGCAGUGCGCCUGCCAGGCCGUACGCCACCGCCUGGUCGUUGUCCUGCUGCACACGCACCGCCGCCUCCACCACCUGGCGCAGCUCGGGCUUGCCGGCGUAGCGCGCCACCAGCAGCGAGGCCUGCGGGGUGGAGGAGGAGGUUGUAUUCACGAAUGGCUAAGGAAGUGGUGGACGGUAGAUAAUCUUGGGGACCAGCAAUUGUUAUCGGUGCGGGGGUGGGGGUGUCGUGAGGAGUCGGCGAGGUAUCAGGGAGGGGCAUGCGCAGCGCGAAGGCGAGCUGGAGAUGGCUUUGCUGGUUGGGCGUGCAAGGCGCAAUGCAGAUGCUGGUUGGGCGUGCAAGGCGCAAUGCCGAUGCAGAACGGGUCAAGUGCAGGCCGCGCGGCGUGCACCCACCUUGGCGAAGCAGUUGGCCUGUGCGGCGUUGGGGAGGAAGGGGUGGGGGAGGGGAGGGAUGGAGCUGUGAGGAGCGCUGCCUUCAGGUGCAUAACGGAUUGGAGACCUCUACACACACGACACGCACGCGCCCUUCUCCCGCAUGCCAGUACCCACCACUACCAUGGCAUCCCUCCCUAAGCCAAGCCACGGAUCCGCCCCCCUGGGUGACUCUCCCCUCCGAACCACCCAUGCACGCACACGCACACACACACACGCGCGCACGCAUAAUGUGCGCAUGCAUGGCAUCCCUCCCUAAGCCAAGCCACAGAGCCGCCCCUCUGGGUGACGCACCACUCCCAACCACCCAUACACGCGCGCACACACACACACACACACACACACACUCUCCCCCCCCACACACACACGCCCCGCCCCGCCCCGCCCCGCCCCGCCCCGCCCCGCCCCACCAAGCCACGGAUCUGCACCCCUGGGUGACUCACGUACACACACACGGUAUGCGAGGCAAUUUCAGGUAACAUCCGUAAACCGCCGCUUUGCUGCAUCGCAUACACUGUCUUUGCGCAACGUUUUCCUUGUGCUCUUUAACACAUACACACACACACGCCCCGCCCCGCCCCGCCCCACCUGGUAGUCGGUGUUGUGGCCCACCUCGCGGCCGCGCUUGCCCUCCUCCCAGUUGGUCACCAGCGCGCGAACCGAGUGGUUGCGGUAGGCGUUGGGCUCGGUGGCUGUGAAGUAGGUGUAGAAGGCCUGGCGGGGGUGGGGCCGAGGCCAACGUCAGCUCCAUCGUCAUCAGAAAGCCCAGGAGGCAGCCGUGCACGUUUCAGGUAUGUUGGUUAGUUGGGGCUAGCGGCAGUUGGGACCGCAAGGUGUCAGACCCAGGUGUCAGACCCACAGUGGUCCGGCCCGAACCUUGGUGAGGUAGGGGCGGGUCACGUGUGAUAGGUCGGGCGGGAGAGUGACAGGCCGGUUGCACCUGUCAGCCCGUCCGAGAGGUCUGCGGGGUGCCGGGGGAGUCUAGGCCCCGGCAGUUGCGAGAGUUGGCUCAACCACACGCCACGACAUUACCCCAUACUACUGAAGGUGCCAGGCAGCGUAGCUGCCACCGUGUGUGUAACGCACCAGCUAUUGUCAAGCUGUCGAACCCCAAUCUCCAACAGGUCAUGAGCCCCGUGCCGCGGUAACGCGCGCGGUCGGCAGCUACUAGCUAGGUAGGGUGGACGACCCAUCGGGGGUCCUUAAGUUCCCGCCGCUCGCGGAGGGCAUAGCUAACUACUUUAAGUGGUACCAACACCUCUACGACUUCCUAGCCACCCGUAAGCCUCCCCUAGCAGCCUAUCUCAGCGACCCCGCGCCUCCGCACCGCACGCCCCGCGAGCAUGCGGACGAGUCCGCGGCAGCCAUGGGCUGGAUGCGCAUGUCCUGCAGUCCGGACGUUGCGCGCGCCCUCUGCCACUACGGAGACGCCAGCUACGCGCUUCAGUACGUCCAGCAGCUGUUCUGUAUCACAGCACCCCACAAGCUGUCGGUGCUCGACACCGAGCGCGGCAACUUCCGCAUGCUGGAGGGUGAGUCCGUGUCGGCGUACUUUGGCCGCGCCUACUGCCUGCGGGAUCAGAUCCUGGGCUUGGGCAGCGCCGGGUCGGACAACGACAUUAUCCUGCGCCUGCUGCGCGGGCUGCCCCAGCUCGACUUCAAGAUCCCCAUUGAGAUCUGCAACGCGCAGCCGCCGCAGUCCCUCGCACCGCUCCGCGGCUACCUCAUGCAGCACGAGCUGCUGCGGCCUGGCGAUCAGGACUCCGGCGGCCACGUGGGCAGCGUCAACCGCGCCCCCGGCGGCGGCGGCGGCGCUGGUGGCCAGGAGCUCGUUCAUCUUGGGAACAUCGUAGAUCCCUGCAGGCCACCCGGUGGUCAUGGCAGGCGGUGAGGUGGAGAGGUGGGUGAGCGCGCGAGCAAAAAGGAUACAGACUUGCAGACCGCCGGCCGCUGGCCCCUGGCCACUGCGUGGCGUUGCUCCUCCCAUGACAGAACACCAAGUGGCCAACCGCCGCGAGCUUAGCAUCCUAAGUUGCCCCCACCCCACACACACACCACGGGCACGGGGCACCACCAGCAAGAGCAAGAGCAACAACAACAACAACACAACUUCUGGCCGACCGGCCAGCACGCUCACAGUGCAGGGGCAUGGUGGCGAUGUCUGCGAGCAGGCCGCCCAGCACCGCGGCCUUGGCGCGCUCCCGCACCGCGGCAUCAGUGGCAACAGUCUUGGCGGGCGCGACGACUGGCGCGGCGCUCAUGGCAACGGUCUGCGAGCAAAUUGUCCGUGAUGGGAAAUGGGAUGUAGUAGUAGGGGUUGAUGAGUAGGCGGUGCAUAGGAGUUCGGGGAGAGGGUGGCGGAGCGGGGCCGGGCGUUGGUCGCGGUGGGUGGCGGUGGGCCACACGACACACGAGCCAACUCAACUGGGUCUUUUGUUUAUAUGCACUCUCUACAUAUAAGCAUCAUCAAGUUAAGGUUGAUGUUGCAAUCUGUCGGGCCUUUGCGUUGCAGGCGCGACGCAUCCACUGAACGAUCCUCGCACCAAUGUUGAAUUCAUCGCAAUGCUUUGCAAAGGAAUGCUUGCAUGUCUCACCCGAGCAGCAGUGCGUCCACGGGAUACAGAGGCUGCGGGGCGGGCGAGGGCAGAACGGAGAGCCAUGCUCUUGGUCAGAGCGUCGUAACGUAAAGCUGUGAUGGCGUAAGAAGCUGUCAAACAGCAAAUUCUAUCUCGCAAUUCUAGACAAAUGCAACCUCAUACAAGCGUAAACCGGCACGCCGUACAGGUCAGCAGCCAGCGGCCGUGACACCUGGUUGCACUUACCCACUGGACCCUUGUCCCUAUGCAAAUAAAUCGGCUGGGUCACAUUUGCCACGUACAAGGCUGGGACCGAAGCACGAAAGGGCCAUACGGUAGUGGGAGGAUAGGAAUGAGGGUGCCCGCUUGCCCGCGGUGCGCCUCCCAUCGUGUGACACGGGAGCUGCUGAGCCGCAGCGCCAAGGCCGCAGCGCCAAGGCCGGCCUGCAGGCUGCAGUUCCCUGUGGGCCACAUUAUGCGCUACCUGAAGAAGGGCAAUACGCCGAGCGCAUCGGUGCCGGCGCGCCCGUGUACCUGGCCGCCGUGCUGGGGUACUUGACCGCUGAGGUGCUGGAGCUCGCCGGCAACGCCGCCCCCGACAACAAGAAGAACCGCAUUGUGCCUCGCCACAUCCAGCUGGCCAUCCGCAACGACGAGGAGCUGGGCAAGCUGCUGGGCGAGGUGACCAUCGCCGCAUCGCGUCGGGCGGUGUGCUGCCGACCAAGGGCGGCAAGCGCAGCGCGGAGGCCGCCUGAAGCGCUGGUCCUCGUACCAUAUAUUCAAUCGCUUGCCAUACUUGGUGUUACUCAACACCACCCUAUGCCAUUCACCGCGGAUUUACAGUGGCUUCACUCACUGCACACGCCUGAUCCUCAUGCCAUACACAUUCCCACCCCUGCUGCAUGCGCAACUCCACGUUCCGCAUCAUCCUCCGAGCCGGCAUCACGUCUAUGAUAUAGCGGUAAUCAUCCACCAAUUGUUUCUGCCAACCUGCGAAACCUGUACUGUACAGUAUUGCUAUAACUGCGCGACCUGCUUCAAGUGCUCAACACAAUAUGAUGCAUCCUGCACGCAUGAAAUGAAUGGUCGCCAGGUGAACACCGUGCCUGCUCCAGCAUCCUGCACUUGAUCACUGCGUGCGCAGCCACACGUGACCCAAAUCACGUCGCCGGCACCUACCUAACCCAUGCCUAGCCACACCGCUCAACCGUUCUAGCGUUUACCGUUACGCUACAUGCGCGG
rnacentral:lncRNA from 1 species